UACGGAGGGUGCAAGCGUUAUCCGGAUUCACUGGGCGUAAAGGGCGCGUAGGCGGCCUGGUAAGUAGGAGGUGAAAUCCUGCGGCUUAACCGCAGGGCUGCCUUCUAAACUGUCAGGCUCGAGCACAGUAGAGGCAGGUGGAAUUCCCGGUGUAGCGGUGGAAUGCGUAGAGAUCGGGAAGAACAUCAGUGGCGAAGGCGGCCUGCUGGGCUGUUGCUGACGCUGAGGCGCGACAGCGUGGGGAGCAAACAGG
rnacentral:rRNA from 1 species